GCUACAAUGGACAAAAGAGGAACAUUCUGUAUUAACUAAUUUGGUAGAGGAGAAGCAGCCUCUUGGUCUUAAACAAAUGAGAGCUUGAUGCAGGAAGAACUUCGAAAUAUUUGGUAGAGCCACAUGUGACUGAUCAAAAUAUUCACCCUAAGCACACAAAACAAGAGUGUUAAGAUCUGCCAGAUAUGGGACUCACCUGCAGCAGAAUGUGGCCUUAACAGAACGCGGGAAACCCUUCCAAUGGAAGAUGUUUUGCUCACAAAGCACAAUCACUUUGGAGACGUUGAUCUGAUUUCUACAAUAAAUUAAAAUGGGAUUGCCCUUGUUGCUGUUGCUGCAGGCUCAUGAUCUGGACCCAACCCCAGGACUCAAGCAGGACUGAAGGACACAUGGUAAGAUUGUGUUACCUGUGCACAGGAGGAUGGUGAAAUCUGGGAUAUGUAGCUUGUGACUUUCAGCUGUCUGGUCUGAAGCAAGGGACAGGAAGUUUCUGUGUUGAUGGAAGAGCAGUGGAGAGCAAGAAGAGGAGGUGAAAA